rnacentral:rRNA from 1 species
GGGUCAGUAGGUUGGUCGUGCCACCGGUACGUACUGGUCUCACUGAUUCCUCCUUCCUGAAGAGCCGUAAUGCCAUUAAUUUGGUGUUGCGGGGAAACAGGACUGUUACUUUGGAAAAAUUAGAGUGUUUAAAGCAAGCUAACGCUUGAAUACAUUAGCAUGGAAUAAUGAAAUAGGACGAUCGAUCCUAUUUUGUUGGUUUCUAGGAUUGACGUA